rnacentral:rRNA from 1 species
GAUGAACGCUGGCGGCGUGCCUAAUACAUGCAAGUCGAGCGAACGGACGAGAAGCUUGCUUUUCUGAUGUUAGCGGCGGACGGGUGAGUAACACGUGGAUAACCUACCUAUAAGACUGGGAUAACUUCGGGAAACCGGAGCUAAUACCGGAUAAUAUUUUGAACCGCAUGGUUCAAAAGUGAAAGACGGUCUUGCUGUCACUUAUAGAUGGAUCCGCGCUGCAUUAGCUAGUUGGUAAGGUAACGGCUUACCAAGGCAACGAUGCAUAGCCGACCUGAGAGGGUGAUCAGCCACACUGGAACUGAGACACGGUCCAGACUCCUACGGGAGGCAGCAGUAGGGAAUCUUCCGCAAUGGGCGAAAGCCUGACGGAGCAACGCCGCGUGAGUGAUGAAGGUCUUCGGAGCGUAAAACUCUGUUAUUAGGGAAGAACAUAUGUGUAAGUAACUGUGCACAUCUUGACGGUACCUAAUCAGAAAGCCACGGCUAACUACGUG